rnacentral:rRNA from 1 species
GACGAACGCUGGCGGCGUGCCUAAUACAUGCAAGUCGAACGGAGUGGCGCACGGGUGAGUAAUAUAUAGCUACUCUUCCCCUUGCUGGAGGACAACAGUUAGAAAUGACUGCUAAUACUCCAUAUCAAGGGCUGAGACUAUAUCGUAUCAGCUAGUCGGUGGGGUAACGGCCUACCGAGGCUAUGACUCGUAACUGGUCUGAGAGGAUGAUCAGUAACAUUGUAACUGAGACACGGGCCAAACACCUACGGGAGGGAACAGUAGUGAAUAUUGCGAAAUGGGGGAGACCCUAGAGCAGCAACGGCGCGUGGAGGAUGACACUUUGCGGAGCAUAAAGUCCUUUUGUUAGGGAAGCGGUACCUAACGAGUAAGCACCGGCUAACUCCGUGCCAGCAGCCGCGGUAAUUC